rnacentral:tRNA from 1 species
UAGGAAGUGGUGUAGUGGAAGCACUAAGAGUUUUGAUCUCUUCAGGCGGGGUUCAAGUCCCC